AAAUUGAAGAGUUUGAUCAUGGCUCAGAUUGAACGCUGGCGGCAGGCCUAACACAUGCAAGUCGAACGGUAACAGAAAGCAGCUUGCUGCUUUGCUGACGAGUGGCGGACGGGUGAGUAAUGUCUGGGAAACUGCCUGAUGGAGGGGGAUAACUACUGGAAACGGUAGCUAAUACCGCAUAACGUCGCAAGACCAAAGAGGGGGACCUUAGGGCCUCUUGCCAUCGGAUGUGCCCAGAUGGGAUUAGCUAGUAGGUGGGGUAACGGCUCACCUAGGCGACGAUCCCUAGCUG
rnacentral:rRNA from 1 species